ensembl:lncRNA
UGGACACGCCCCCUCCAUUACUCGGCACACGCUUCGAAGCGUCGGCACAUCUCGUAACAUCACUAAUUAACUCUGAUAUAAUAACUGUUGGUUUAUUUAUCGGUGGAGCAGCAGAACAUUUUCCACAGACAGUUUUCCUGCCCGUUGGCUUGUUUUAACCAGUUUUCUGCCUUCGACUGAUUCUACCAGCAGACACUGAAAGGACUCUGAUAGUUCGAGUGAAAGUAGCAGUUCCUCCUUAAGGUCAGAGAUUGCAGCAUCUGAGGGCCUCUUCAAAAGAAGACGUAGUUGAUGAAGGCGUUCUGGAGCAGGACCAGAAAGACCACGACCAAGCAGCCUUGAGAUCUUAGGCAGCGUCUCCCUCAGACCAAAGAACUACAGACUCUUCACAACCUGCUCAAACUCUUGGUACAGAACCUCACCACACGGGUCAAGAAGGUUUCCAUCUCAUUUCUACUCUGAAGAUCACUUUCUCCUGCUCAAACUGCUGACAAAUGUUUCUGCUGCUCUAAAGUCUGAUCUACAGAACUUCCUAAAAACUCUCAAAGUCUCUUCUGCUGCAGGUUGCUUUGUAGAACUGUUCCAGAAAACCUCACUAAACCACAUGGAGGGGCCUCAAGAUAGUCGUCCAAAUGAAACCGUACAAAAACCAAACUAGCACAACCCAAACACUAAAGUCUCCUGCAGCCUACCAGAGAACCUCUGUGAACAGAGAAUCAGGACAGGAACUCUUACCUUCUGGACAACCAACGCUGGUUCACAAACAAGAAUACAGAAUGUGUCUGACCAAAAACCUCUGAAAACUCACUACAGCCAAGAUAAAGACACAACUCAGCUGCACCAAAUCCACUAAUCACUGCACACAUUAGCACCAUGUGCCAACUGUGGCUAAAGAACCACAUUUACCAAGACAACUGUCCAGUACAAAGCCCUAAAACACACCAAGAAACACAUUAAAGAUGAUUUUACUGCUGGAGGUUGCAAGCCAACGCCUAAACAAACUAAAGCAAUGGAGCCAAACCCGGUUCACUGGUGAAGAGAAACAGAGGAAAUGUUUGUCUGCAGCUAAAUAAAGCAGGAAGACACUGAGCAGCUCAGGUGUUCCUGAUAACACCAAGCAGCCACCUGGACAGCCAAUAGGAACACAGCUUACUGGAAGUCCAGAGGGCUGGGUUAGUGGAGUAAAUUUAGUUUAAAGUUGAAGCAGAAAGUUAACAAAGAAAGUUGAAAACCACCUUCUGAAACCUGAAAUCUCUGAGUUUUCACACAAAGAAUGUCUGAACAUGUCAAACUUCAUCGCUUUUUUGUUUUUUUUUAAUAGAUUUUUUCUUUAUACCGUGUAUGUUUGCAGAAAAAUGACGUCAUGAGGCAACCAUAAUAACAUUGCACUGCAGGUCAAGUUAGGUUGUAGAAAAUCUGGAAGAGCAAGAACGCAAUAUUGCAACCCAGAGGUUGGAGCAUGGAGCUGGAAUAUGUAGUGCUGCUUCUCUAUGGUAUCUUGGUGGAGUCAAUUCCAUGCAGAUGUCCAACUCUAGACGAGGCAAAACAUCCCUGAAUAGUUCUACCACCAGGUUUCACAGUGGGUUUGAUACACUACAGUAUCAUUUUCCCUCCUGUUGGUCUCUUUAGAUACACCCCACAACUGUCACACUUGGAUUCAUCUCAUUUUUUCCAGUCAUCCACUGAGAAAUGCGGCUAUGUCUCAGCCCAGGCCAAGUGUCUGGCCUUGUUUCCCCUCCUGAGAAGCAGUUUAAAGAUGUUAUUUGUCCUUGUUAAGGAAAUUCUCAAAGUUAAAUAAAUGCUCUCAAAACAGAUAAGUGUUCUCUCUGAGUUUUAUUGGAUGCAGUCCCUGAGCAGCCACUGCAGCUGAAUGAGUGCUUUUAGCUCUCUCAGCAAACAGCUUUAUACAUUUUUGAUGGAAAUAAUUACAUUCUCCUUGCCUAUUUCUCGACUCUCUGAGGAACACUAGCUUAUAUGUGCUUAAUUCUUUGCCCUGGGUCAUGUCUGGAUCUUGUACUGGCCAGUUCACAGUCACGAGGUCAGCUUUGUCGUGUUGGUCGCCCAGUAAACAAUGUCCUCUAUUGAAGACAUGAGUUGUUAUGACAGCGUGGGUCUUAAUUGCUCAUGCAC